rnacentral:lncRNA from 1 species
UUUAGAUUAUAAUAGCUUUGAAACAAUGAUAAUGAAAAUUUUUUCAUCGUUCUAAAUUUAUGCUACAGUUAUUGUCGUAAAAGAUUAAGAAAAAUCUUAUGGGUGCAAUUAUUCCACUGACACCUGCGAAAUUACCAAAAGAACUGACCAUCGCUGUUUAUUGUAUUUUUUUAAAUGUUCUAGUUAAACAAUCUAACACUUAA